rnacentral:rRNA from 1 species
GACGUAGGGCGCGAGCGUUGUCCGGAUUUACUGGGCGUAAAGCGUGCGCAGGCGGUUCGUGAUGUCUGAUGUGAAAGCCCCGGGCUCAACCUGGGAAUUGCAUUGGAAACUAGCGGGCUGGAGUGUGGCAGAGGGGGGUGGAAUUCCACGUGUAGCAGUGAAAUGCGUAGAGAUGUGGAGGAACACCGAUGGCGAAGGCAGCCCCCUGGGCUAACACUGACGCUCAUGCACGAAAGCGUGGGGAGCAAACAGG